rnacentral:rRNA from 1 species
UACGUAGGGUGCGAGCGUUAAUCGGAAUUACUGGGCGUAAAGCGUGCGCAGGCGGUUACAUAAGAAAGAUGUGAAAUCCCCGGGCUCAACCUGGGAACUGCGUUUGUGACUGUGUGACUAGAGUACGGCAGAGGGGGGUGGAAUUCCUGGUGUAGCAGUGAAAUGCGUAGAUAUCAGGAGGAACAUCGAUGGCGAAGGCAGCCCCCUGGGCCUGUACUGACGCUCAUGCACGAAAGCGUGGGGAGCAAACAGG